AGCGAAAUAAUAGUAGCGAAGUUCCUGAUGUCACACUGCCAAGAAAAGCUUCUAGUGAGAAAACAACUGCCCGUACCGUAAACCGACACAGGUAGUCGAGGAGAGUAUCCUAAGGUGAGCGAGCGAACUCUCGUUAAGGAACUCGGCAAAAUGACCCCGUAACUUCGGGAGAAGGGGUGCUGACUUCGGUCAGCCGCAGUGAAUAGGCCCAAGCGACUGUUUAUCAAAAACACAGGUCUCUGCAAAAUCGUAAGAUGAAGUAUAGGGGCUGACGCCUGCCCGGUGCUGGAAGGUUAAGAGGAUGGGUUAGCUUCGGCGAAGCUCAGAAUUGAAGCCCCAGUAAACGGCGGCCGUAACUAUAACGGUCCUAAGGUAGCGAAAUUCCUUGUCGGGUAAGUUCCGACCCGCACGAAAGGCGUAACGAUUUGGGCACUGUCUCAACGAGAGACUCGGUGAAAUUUUAGUACCUGUGAAGAUGCAGGUUACCCGCGACAGGACGGAAAGACCCCAUGGAGCUUUACUGUAGUUUGAUAUUGAGUGUUUGUACCACAUGUACAGGAUAGGUAGGAGCCGAUGA
rnacentral:rRNA from 1 species